CCAGAAAGGGANGGCUAACUACGUGCCAGCAGCCGCGGUAAUACGUAGGUCCCGAGCGUNGUCCGGAUUUAUUGGGCGUAAAGCGAGCGCAGGCGGUUAGAUAAGUNUGAAGUUAAAGGCUGUGGCUUAACCAUAGUACGCUUUGGAAACUGUUUAACUUGAGUGCAGAAGGGGAGAGUGGAAUUCCAUGUGUAGCGGUGAAAUGCGUAGAUAUAUGGAGGAACACCGGUGGCGAAAGCGGCUCUCUGGUCUGUAACUGACGCUGAGGCUCGAAAGCGUGNGGAGCAAACAGGAUUAGAUACCCUGGUAGUCCACGCCGUAAACGAUGAGUGCUAGGUGUUGGGUCCUUUCCGGGACUCAGUGCCGCAGCUAACGCAUUAAGCACUCCGCCUGGGGAGUACGACCGCAAGGUUGAAACUCAAAGGAAUUGACGGGGGCCCGCACAAGCGGUGGAGCAUGUGGUUUAAUUCGAAGCAACGCGAAGAACCUUACCAGGUCUUGACAUCCCGGUGCCCGUCCUAGAGAUAGGAUUUUGCUUCGGCACACCGGUGACAGGCGGUGCAUGGUUGUCGUCAGCUCGUGUCGUGAGAUGUUGGGUUAAGUCCCGCAACGAGCGCAACCCUUAUUGUUAGUUGCCAUCAUUAAGUUGGGCACUCUAGCGAGACUGCCGGUAAUAAACCGGAGGAAGGUGGGGAUGACGUCAAAUCAUCAUGCCCCUUAUGACCUGGGCUACACACGUGCUACAAUGGCUGGUACAACGAGUCGCAAGUCGGUGACGGCAAGCUAAUCUCUUAAAGCCAGUCUCAGUUCGGAUUGUAGGCUGCAACUCGCCUACAUGAAGUCGGAAUCGCUAGUAAUCGCGGAUCAGCACGCCGCGGUGAAUACGUUCCCGGGCCUUGUACACACCGCCCGUCACACCACGAGAGUUUGUAACACCCGAAGUCGGUGAGGUAACCUUUUAGGAGCCAGCCGC
rnacentral:rRNA from 1 species